AUUGAACGCUAGCGGGAUGCUUUACACAUGCAAGUCGAACGAGUGUCGGACGGGUGAGUAAUAUAUCGGAACGUGCCCAGUAGCGGGGGAUCACUACACGAAAGAUUGGCUAAUACCGCAUACUAUUGUAGCGGUCGAUAUCGGAUUAGCUAGUUGGUGGGGUAAAGGCUCACCAAGGCAACGAUCAGUAGCUGGGUUGAGAGGACGACCAGCCACACUGGGACUGAGACACGGCCCAGACUCAUACGGGAGGCAGCAGUGGGGAAUUUUGGACAAUGGGGGAAACCCUGAUCCAGCCAUGCCGCGUGUAUGAGAAGGCCUUCGGGUUGUAAAGUACUUUUAGCAGAGAAGCGGUAUCUGCAGAAUAAGCACCGGCUAACUACGUGCCAGCAGCGCGGUAAUAC
rnacentral:rRNA from 1 species